ensembl:lncRNA
ACGUGGGUCUGGGUUUUCAUCUCUGAGUUUACCUCUCUCAACCUCUGCCUCUCACUGUCUGCCUGUCUCUCUCACACACACACCCCACCCUGGGCACUCUUGGGUCCCACUCACCGCCUCUGCUCCUGAGUUCACCCAUUGGCUUCAUCUGGACACUGGGAGGUGGCGCCCCCAGGCCCUGACCCCCACCGGUGUCCUCAUGCGCAACCAGCAAGGGGUGCCCGGCGUGCAGCUCUGUUGGGGGGCCCCCACCCACCUGUCGCCUGCACGCGUUCGCUGUCGAUGAGACCUGAGUACUCAGAGUGAUGUGGAACCCCAGGAGGGACUGCUAGAGUCCUCAGGGGACAGGAUCCUGCUAAGCCAGCCGGUUGAGUCGGCUGUGGUCAAUUUGACAAACUCCAUCCCGACACAGAGCUGAGCAUGAAAAGCAGACAUCACACAGCCUCAAAACAGACGAAGAGGAGGAUGAAGCUCAUCAAACUGUUCUAGAAAAGUCAGAGGACCUGGGGACUAUACGGGCUUCCCAGGCGGUGCUUGUGCUAAAGAACCCGCCUGCCAAUGCAGGAGACCUAAGAGAUGCAGGUUUAACCCUGGGUCAGGAAGAUCCCCUGGAGGAGGACACAGCAACCCACUCCAGCAUUCUUGCCUGGAGAAUCCCACAGACAAAGGAGCCUGGCGGACUACAGUGCAUGGGGUCACAAAGAGUCGGGCAUGACUGAGCAACCCAGCAUGGGGACCACACAUCCACCCUCGUGCGGAGAUCCGUGUAGAAUCGCCGACAACAACGUCCGGUGCCAAGGACAGAGCGUACCAGGGACAAGUCCUAAUUGGGCAGGAAGAUAGCAAAGUCAAAAAUAUACCAUCCCGAGCAACAGGACACAUCUGCGGUGGAUCCACACAGAAGCAAUUAAUUUCCUGGUGGUAUUUUUACACUGGGGGCCUGGUGCAGGCCCCCAUUAUACAAACAAAAACUCCAGACAGCCCUGCUGCCUGAUAAAAAAUAAAUCAGAUUGCAGAAGGGCUGUUUGGCCCAGGACUGCUACAGGCAAUGACUUGUAAUGAGGCGUCCCGACACUAAUUAUGAAGCUUAUUAAAGACAAUUGUCCAACUUGUUCUAAGUGUAACCUAUAAUC